rnacentral:rRNA from 2 species
UCAACCGGGGAGGGUCAUUGGAAACUGGGAGACUUGAGUGCAGAAGAGGAAAGUGGAAUUCCAUGUGUAGCGGUGAAAUGCGUAGAGAUAUGGAGGAACACCAGUGGCGAAGGCGACUUUCACGUGGGUAACCUGCCCAUAAGACUGGGAUAACUCCGGGAAACCGGGGCUAAUACCGGAUGGUAGUUCACGCCGUAAACGAUGAGUGCUAAGUGUUAGAGGGUUUCCGCCCUUUAGUGCUGAAGUUAACGCAUUAAGCACUCCGCCUGGGGAGUACGGCCGCAAGGCUGAAACUCAAAGGAAUUGACGGGUGGCCCGCACAAGCGGUGGAGCAUGUGGUUUAAUUUGAAGCAACGCGAAGAACCUUACCAGGUCUUGACAUCCUUUGAAAACCCUCAGAGAUAGGGCUUCUCCUUCGGGAGCAGAGUGACAGGUGGUGCAUGGUUGUCGUCAGCUCGUGUCGUGAGAUGUUGGGUUAAGUCCCGCAACGAGCGCAACCCUUGAUUUUAGUUGCCAUCAUUAAGUUGGGCACUUUAAGGUGACUGCCGGUGACAAACCGGAGGAAGGUGGGGAUGACGUCAAAUCAUCAUGCCCCUUAUAGCCACGGCUAACUACGUGCCAGCAGCCGCGGUAAUACGUAGGUGGCAAGCGUUAUCCGGAGCUAAUCUCAUAAAACCGUUCUCAGUUCGGAUUGUAGGCUGCAACUCGCCUACAUGAAGCUGGAAUCGCUAGUAAUCGCGGAUCAGCAUGCCGACGGUGAAUACGUUCCCGGGCCUUGUACACACCGCCCGUCACACCACGAGAGUUUGUAACACCCGAAGUCGGUGGGGUAACCUU